AAGUCAUGUUGAGGACAAUUUCUUAGAAUGUCCUUGUAUCUUUCCCAUGCUUCAUAUAAUGACUCUCUGAUUUCUUGUUGGAAGUUGGCUAUCUUCUUCUUUACUUU